AGGUAAAGAAGAUAUCAUCUAAAAUAGAAAAGAAGUGGGUGUAUUAUAUGGCUUCAGAGAUUUGGGAUAGGUGUGAGGUAAAGCGACCACCUGUGAAAGAAGAAAUGAGAGAGGAGAAGUGGCAGGCCGGAUGUACCUUUCUCAGUCGGAAGAAGGUAUGUGAAAUUUGAACAUCACCUAGAAACUGCUUGUGGCAUGUACCCUGGAGAAGUAUUUGAGACUUCUGGUAAGCAUCCUCCAGUCAGGAGACCCCUGGUAGAGAGAACGGGAUCAACUCCAGUUCUAGUCUCUCUGGUUCCUUUGAGGGGCUUCUCUCCUCAGCCCCACAAGUGACCUCAGGGCAGAUGUGUAGUGAGCAAUUCAGAAGAUCAUUAACAAGACUGGGAGUACAGUCCUGAGUGAUAUUAUUGUUAGGCAGUAAUAGGGAAUAAAACCUUUUGAGAUUUUGGAAAUUAGAAGAGAAGGUACUACGAAGUGUAAAGUGGACAGGGAGGUAAAUCAGAGGGUCACAGACAGAGAUGCUGUCUGGAACCUCAAGCACUGGACCUUGCCUGCCUCUUCCAGGGAGGUAGUUUAAAAACAUCAAAGUGCUUGUUUUCGUUUACAGUCAUUUACUUCUACUGUGUUCUAUCAUCAUUCUUUGAUCUUGGUCCAGUUCACAUAUCUUGGGCAAAUUUUAUAACUAUAUUGUCGCUUUUAAUGAUUACAAGUUUUUAAUGAUUAAAACAUAGUCCAGUCCACUUGAAAGCUGUAAUAUCAGAUUCUAACCUCAGUUUGUGUCCUGCUCCUUUCCCGUUUCACACUUGACAUUUGACCAUGAGACACUGCUUAUAGUAAGGAAGAUGAUGAAGGUCAUGAUCUGGCUUUAAGACACCCUGUCCCUUUUCUCGAGGGUUAACUUUCUGGUGUGGACACAGAAAGAGGAAAUGGGAGGCUGAAAUAUCCUUUUUUUUAAUGUUUAUUUAUUUUGUGAGAGAGAGAGAUUGAGCAUGUGCAGGUUGGGGAGGGGCAGAGAGAAUGGGAGAACAAGAAUCCCAAGCAGUCCCAUGCUCAGCACGAAGCCCCACACAGGGCUCCAACUCAUGAACUUGAGCCAAAAUCAAGUCAGAAACUUAACCGACUAAGCCACCCAAGCACCUCUGGAAUAUUCUUAAUAUCUAGUCAGCUAUCAGUAGGGGGCCCCCACCCCACCCCUGCCCAUUGCACAAUGAGUUUAUGUAGUUCUGACUUGUUAGGUGGACUUCCCCUGUCAUGGAUUCCAUGGUGAUAGUAUAUAGAUUAUGUGUGUUUGUGUGUAUGUGUGUGUUUGUGUGUGUAUAAGUCAGCUUCAUUUGGACCCCUUCUAUCAUUAAAUAAAAGAAAGAAAAGAAAGACAGUUGUGUCAGCCUUCAGCUCAGCCUGGCCCCUGCUUCCCUUCCAGGAGGGGCAUUACCUCACCUAAACUGACAGGUACCCAAACAACCCUACAACUCCAGUUUAUCUCCGUUCUCUGUGCUGUUUCAAAUGGACUGAAGAAGGAAGUUCUAGGUUCUCUUCCAUUCCUUUGGAGGGUGGUGCAUAACUGUGAUACAGUAUAAUCUCUAUUCCCAUCUCCUGCCCUCUUACUGUUCCAGGAUAUAUUAUGCCACAGACCUUUAAGGCCAGCAGAUGCAGAAUACUCCCACAUGGCUAUCUAUUUUCAGAACACUAAGCUAAAAAUUAUCUUAGUGUCUUUCUGCAAAAGGUACAUGUGUCAAAUACUCCUAAGAACUUUUCUUCUUCUACACUUUGCUUUAAUGAGCACUAGGAAGCAAAUUUUGCAGAUUUUUCACCUUUGUUCUGGGCAUUACCAGUCUGAACUGUUGAUUCUCUUGGGAGCCUCCCAUCGUUUGAUACUGGGUAGAGCUAGUGGUUGUAUAUCCCUCCCUUUCUUCAUAGGAAAGUGGUAAAACCUCUUACCAUAAAUAUUGCACUACCCCAAAGACAAUGACUCCAAGAAUGCCUUUAUCUCUUCUUUCCAGUCCUUUCUUUAUGGUAGGCUGGAGAGAUGAAAGAUUGGGUGAUGGCAGUAUAAAUGAUUCUACGUCUUCCAUUAGUAAGCCUCAGUGGGUUGUAUCUGACCCCAAUUAUCAGUAGUCUUUGAAAGUUCUUCAAAAUGUGUGUUCUGUGGACCCUCUUAUUUGUGGAAUGUAGCCAGUUUCACUGAAUUUCUUGUGACUUUUCUGUGAGAGGAGUUGUUAUUGUCACGUAAGAGUUCGAUGUGUUCAGACAGGGUGAUAAAGGCAAUUAUAUCUAAGCUUUUCAGCUUAAAUAAUGAAGUUACCCUUUAUUUUUGGGACCUCAAAGUUAGGUUCCAGAAUAUGGAAAUGACGGAUACUAAUGUCUUACGAUGUGUAAAGUCAAUGUAUCUAGAAAAAAAAAAAAAGUCUAUGUGGAAGUGUAGGAAAUGGUUGAAACAUAAUAUGGAUCUGGAGCUUGGAACAGAAUUUCAGGAAGAGAAAGAUGAUUCGAAGCCAUUAGCAUAUAGACGGCAUAAAGCCUUGGAAAUGAAUGACAUCUCCAUGGAGAAUGUGUAGAAGGGGAAGGGAAGCAGAUAUAGAGGCAAGGCCUGAGGAACAUUAAUAAGGUUUGGAAAGAAGGAGAAAAGAGACCAGAAGUUGAAAAAAAAAAAAAAAAAAAAAAAAAGCAGAGAGAGGAAAGG